rnacentral:lncRNA from 1 species
CCCAGGGCAGCUGCUGCCUGCUGUAGUCUGGCUUAUGUUGGUGCUUUAUGCAUCCAACUUAAAAAUAAACGGGCUUGACUGUCAAGCAGGACUGAACACUACUCAGCAUCCAACAGGCUUUGAGCAGUAGAAAAUAGGAAAGGACUGUGAAACUUCUCACAUCAGUAGUUGCUUCCUGCCCAGGAUUCCUCACACUGCUUUCUGGGAUAAAGCAAUGGUCCGGGCAAUGUACCACACAUCCCUGCUCUUCCGCCUCAGGCCUGCACGCUGGAGUGGCCACAGCAUCCAUAGCUCUCCACCGGAGGGGAAAGUGGGACUGGUGGAGACAAUCAUUGGAUUCUCAGCAUUCUCACUGGCAGUUCUCGGACCAGCUGGAUGGAUUCUGUGCCACCUUCCAAGCUAUAGGAUGGAACAAAAAGCAUCCCUUUUUUUCAGGGAAAAAUUAAGAUCUGGAAGCUGUGGUAAGCUGUAAUACACCUGACUUGGAAUCUCUUGAAGAGGAGCAUACGGGGACUUGAGGGCCAGUUUUAAACAAAUUGACUGAAAAAUGAGUUCAAGUUUUAUGUAUUGCUUCUGAAUGAAAAAAAAUUAAGGUCCAUAUGGAGAAUACAACUAAAUCUCCCAUUUCUGGGCAGAAAGCUGUAUACAUUUGCAGAUGUUGUAGAUGUUAAUCCUGAUGUAAAAGGUGCCCUGAGACAAAGUAGUGGUGGGUCCAUUCUUCUGCUGAACAGAUGAGAGAAAAUACAAAGUAAUGAUGUUUAUAGCACUUUCAUUUAGACUCAUCUGAAACAAAAGCUUUAAGAGUUUAUGACAACUUUAUUGAACCUCUGCCCUUUAGAUGCAUUCUUUUGGUGUCCUCUACCCAAUUUAAUUUGCUGCCAGGAUAAAGAUUAUUCUGUUAGUAACAAUUGUCAAAAGCAGGGAUAUAUUUUUGAACUGUUUGUUUAAAUUUCUGAUAUUUGAAAGAUUUUGCCAUGUUUGCUGUUUAAAAUGAUUAAAAUGAUAAAUACUUGGAAAUCUAGACCAUGUUUCAAAUAAGCAUCAUAAAUAGUAUCUGUUAUGUCAUGUUGUAUUAUAAAGGAAUAAUGGUUUCGUGCCUGCUUUGCAAAAAAAAAUGUAUGAUGUUAAUCUUUUGCAAUGCCUGAAGUAUAACAGAAUAUGAAAGUGGUGUCUUUCCUCCCCCCCCAUCCAAACCUGUAGCUUUGUGAUUCCAGCAUCUUGAUCUGAGGCCCAGUUAUGCAUUUGGAAACUUUCCUACAGAUUUUAAUGAGUUUUGGAUAGGGGCCUAUCCAGAGAAAGAUCCAUGCCAGUAACUGAAGUGAAGCUGGGAGAGAUGCUCUGUGAAACACUGCUCUUGCAUGCUGUGAAUAUAUCCACUGACAUCAAUUAGGCUGUUCUGCAGAACCUUUUGUAAGAAAGCAUUCUGAACAUUUCAGUGUGCCUGCUUGUCCUGCACCCAAUUUUGUCAUCCAUGUCUCACCUGGUAAUAGCUAAAUAAAUCAGUAAGAC